rnacentral:rRNA from 1 species
AGUGAACGCUGGCGGUAGGCCUAACACAUGCCAGUCGAACGGCAGCACAGUAAGAGCUUGCUCUUACGGGUGGCGAGUGGCGGACGGGUGAGGAAUACAUCGGAAUCUACUUUUUCGUGGGGGAUAACGUAGGGAAACUUACGCUAAUACCGCAUACGACCUACGGGUGAAAGCAGGGGAUCUUCGGACCUUGCGCGAUUGAAUGAGCCGAUGUCGUAUUAGCUAGUUGGCGGGGUAAAGGCCCACCAAGGCGACGAUCCGUAGCUGGUCUGAGAGGAUGAUCAGCCACACUGGAACUGAGACACGGUCCAGACUCCUACGGGAGGCAGCAGUGGGGAAUAUUGGACAAUGGGCGCAAGCCUGAUCCAGCCAUACCGCGUGGGUGAAGAAGGCCUUCGGGUUGUAAAGCCCUUUUGUUGGGAAAGAAAAGCAGCAGGUUAAUACCCCGCUGUUCUGACGGUACCCAAAGAAUAAGCACCGGCUAACUUCGUG